CAUUGAUGCAAAAAGAUGCUGCAUGGAAUGACAAUGUGGUUUGGAACAGACUUGGUGAAGAACAUGGAAAUCUCUUAAUAAAAUGGCCCCAAACAUCAUCAGGAGUGCAAAAGAAGGAAGUAAAAACAUCUCUACGCCAAUCUCAUUGGAGAGGAAACCACAGAAGGUCUGGUGAGGAAUGCUGCACUUAUGUUAUUGCAAGCAUUAUUUCAAGAAAAUCCCAGCUUCCUUUACUGUGUAAAUAGUGAACCCAAAGGUCCCACACCAACCAUAGUGUUCAACGGCUCUCCUGAUCUUCUCAAAUCUGAAAGUAUCAACUGUAUAAUGGACAAUGUGAACUUAAUAUGUGGAAGACAUUGACAUCACAGGCUGUGGAAUGACUGUGUCACAGGUCGGAGAAGCGGACCGCCCCUGUCGCGGAUCACGCUCCUCCUAGUUCCACCUUGAGGAGGUCCCAAAGCACCCCAAUGACCAGACAAACCAGAGAUAAGUAAAAUAUAAAAAUAGAAACUUUAUUUAAAUUAUUUAAAACUAAAGUGGGGAAUGGGAAAUGGAAAUCUAAAAAUCUCGCUUCUUGCCCUCAGGGGGAGUAUUACGGGGCCAGGGACGUUGGAGGGGUUUCCACGUGACUCCACCUCGAACACCGCUACAGAGCGUAUCUGGCUGGGUUGGGCACACACCGUCGCGGCGGCCCCUGAUGGCAUCCACAAAGGUCCAAGACCCUCCUAAGCUCCCAGCCGUAGCAGAACUACGUAUUUCAGCACCCGAACGACUAACAACCCAGCCGGCAUCUGCAGCGUAUAUCCAACGCGAUCAAACUUCACUCUGACAAGUAACUUCCUAUACACAACCAAGCCGUCCUUUCGCCCGAACCAGCCCCGCACUCUUUCCGCCCGCUACCUAGCGGUCGCCGGAUCAGCACAGCCUGCGGACUCUUCGGAGGCUGGUCUUCGUUGUGCUGCCCAAGGCGGAAGUUGACUCGCCCGAAAAUCGGCCCUUCCAGUAACUUCUACCUUCUCUCUUUAUAUCCUCCUCCAUGGCGUGGCUCGCCCAACCAUCGCUCGCCACGUCACUCACACAGCUGUGCCUUGUUUCAGCGAGUGCGGGGAUUCCCGGGGAACCCGUAAGUGCCGGUGUCUGUACAAACCGGUCCGGGCGGAACCUCUUCACUCUCCUUUUGGUUCCGCCCCGCAUAGUCACUCCGUGACAACUGUUUGCAUUUUUUUUCUCCUCAAUGUUCAAUACCCUUUUGCCAUUAAGCACACAGUGACUUUAAUUUAUAAAAUAUAUGCUUAAGUUUUAAUACCUGUACAAAACAAAUGUACAAUCAACUUGUGUAAAUUGUCAUUCUAUUUAAUAGAUUGUUCAUGAAUUGUCUUUAAAUGCAUUGUGAUUUCGGUAACACUUUACAAUAAAGUUCAUUAGUUAACAUUAGUUAAUGUAUUAACUAACUUGAACAAACCAUAAGCAAUACAUUUGUUACAGUAUUUAUUCAUCUUUGUUAAUGUUAGUUAAUAAAAAUUUAAGCUUUAAUUGCUUGUUCAUGUUAGUUCAGAGUGCAUUAACUAAUGUUAACAAGAUUUUAAUAAAGUAAUUGUUAAAAUUAACAUUAACAAAGAUUAAUAAAGGCUGUAUAAGUGCAGUUCAUUAUUAGUUCAUGUUAACCAAUGUCUAACUAAUGUUAACUAAUGAACCUUAUUGUAAAGUGUUACCGUGAUUUCUUUUCAUCAUUUCAGACACAUGUAAAAGUUACUAAAAAUUAGUACUGCAUAUACUGUACAGUAUCUAUGCGUGAGGGAAAUAACUUGAACAAAAUUUUUAAUGUAUAGUGUAAUUAAGAGUUUAGCUGUUUAAUACAGAGAUGAAAUAUUAUUUAUAUAUAAACAUAUGUAUGUUUAUUAAAAAGUGAAAAUGCUUAAUGAAAAUAAUUAAAUAACUAAAUGGUUGAAUGUAAUGAGACAUUUUAAAUGUAAACUAAAGUUUUGCUGUCUAAUACAGAAUAAAGAGAUGUGAUUUUAAGUAAUUUUUAUAGAUUUAUAUUUCUGUAUAAUACAAUUAAUAAAUAGUAAACUUUUAUAAUUUUCUAGAUCGGUUAUAAUUUCUUAUCAAUAAUAAAUUACUCAUAAUAAUAAAGAACCUUUAAUGGUUCUAAAUAGAACCAUCUAACUUUGAUUCAAAGAACCAUUUGGGGUUCUUUUUAAUGAACCCAUUAAAGUGGUUCUAUAUUGAACCAUUUGGGGGUUCCAUAUAUGAAGCGGGUGAUAGAACCAUUUCUGGUUCGAUAUAGAACCAUUUUUUUUAAG